CAGCCCCACAAGGUGCUGCCGGAGGCACGAGCUGCCUCUGCUCCGGCUGAAAUUCAUCCCAGAGCCUGUGGCCAGGUAGAGACCAGCAGAAGGAGGGUUUCUGGGGAAGGAAGAAGGCAGAGGCCAAUAGGAGCGGUUGGAGAUGAGAAGCCGCUGGACAGGUCUGAUGGGGAAGCCUGACCUCCUCUCCAGGAGUUCCCUUCCUGACACUAGGGCCUUGGGCAGGCUGGACUGGAGCUGAGGGUGGGCGGCGAGGACCAGAGACACAUGCAAGAAUCUGAGGCUCCCUGGGAUGGAUGUGGAAGAAUAUAGCACCUCUCACUCAUAGACACAGCUCCUCCCCGCCGCUCCUCUGCUUUCAGGCGACAGGAACUGGCCCUGGUUUAAGUCACCCUGCUGGAGCGCGCACACUACGACCAGCCGAUGAUAACACUGUGGAACUGGA